AAUAGAUACCCGGGUAGUCCACGCCGUAAACGAUGAGUGCUAAGUGUUAGAGGGUUUCCGCCCUUUAGUGCUGCAGCUAACGCAUUAAGCACUCCGCCUGGGGAGUACGGUCGCAAGACUGAAACUCAAAGGAAUUGACGGGGGCCCGCACAAGCGGUGGAGCAUGUGGUUUAAUUCGAAGCAACGCGAAGAACCUUACCAGGUCUUGACAUCCUCUGACAACUCUAGAGAUAGAGCGUUCCCCUUCGGGGGACAGAGUGACAGGUGGUGCAUGGUUGUCGUCAGCUCGUGUCGUGAGAUGUUGGGUUAAGUCCCGCAACGAGCGCAACCCUUGAUCUUAGUUGCCAGCAUUCAGUUGGGCACUCUAAGGUGACUGCCGGUGACAAACCGGAGGGAGGUGGGGAUGACGUCAAAUCAUCAUGCCCCUUAUGACCUGGGCUACACACGUGCUACAAUGGAUGGUACAAAGGGCUGCAAGACCGCGAGGUCAAGCCAAUCCCAUAAAACCAUUCUCAGUUCGGAUUGU
rnacentral:rRNA from 1 species